rnacentral:misc_RNA from 1 species
GAUGAAGAACGUAGCGAAAUGCGAUAAGUAAUGUGAAUUGCAGAAUUCAGUGAAUCAUCGAAUCUUUGAACGCACAUUGCGCCCGCCAGUAUUCUGGCGAGCAUGCCUGUUCGAGCGUCAUUUCAGCCAUCAAGCCCCAGGCUUGUGUUGGAGCCCUGCGGCUGCCGCAGCCUCCCAAAACCAGUGGCGGGCUCGCUAUCACACCGAGUGCAGUAGUUUACUCUUCGCUCAGGGCGUGUGGCGGGUGCUAGCCGUGAAACCCCCAACUUCUCAAGGUUGACCUCGGAUCAGGUAGGAAUACCCGCUGAACUUAAGCAUAUCAAUAAGCGGAGGA